rnacentral:rRNA from 1 species
CAUGCAAGUCGAACGAGGAUAUAUCCUUCGGGAUAUAAGCCGAGUGGCACAAGGGUGAGCAAUGCAUAGAUUACCUACCUUUAGGAUAAGGGCAACUUUGUGAAAACGGAGCUAAUACUUAAUAAUACAAAAGAAAAUAAUUUUCUUUUGUCAAAGGGAGGGUAGCAAUACCUUUCGCCUAGAGAGGGGUUUAUGUCCUAUCAGCUUGUUGGUGGGGUAAUAGCCCACCAAGGCGAAGACGGGUAGCCGGUUUAAGAGGAUGGUCGGCCACACUGGGACUGAGACACUGCCCAGACUUCUACGGAAGGCUGCAGUCGAGAAUCUUUCGCAAUGCCCGAAAGGGUGACGAAGCGACGCCGCGUGGGUGAAGAAGGCCUUCGGGUUGUAAAGCCCUGUCAGGAGUUAUGAAAUGUAAGUGCGCUAAUAUCGUGCUUAUUUGACAAAGGCUCCAAAGGAAGCCACGGCUAACUCUGUGCCAGCAGCCGCGGUAAUACAGAGGUGGCGAGCGUUGUUCGGAAUUAUUGGGCGUAAAGAGCACGUAGGUGGGUUUGCAAGUCAGAUGUGAAAGCCUUCUGUUCAACGGAAGAAUUGCAUCUGAAACUGCUAAUCUUGAGUAUAGGAGGGGAGAAUGGAACUUCUGGUGGAGCGGUGAAACGCGUAGAUAUCAGAAGGAACGCCGGCGGCGAAAGCGAUUCUCUGGCCUAUUACUGACACUCAGUGUGCGAAAGCUAGGGGAGCAAACGGGAUUAGAUACCCCGGUAGUCCUAGCCGUAAACGAUGGGCACUAAGUAGAGGGAAUUACCUAUAUUCUCUCUGCCGUAGCUAACGCAUUAAGUGCCCCGCCUGGGGAGUACGGCCGCAAGGCUAAAACUCAAAAGAAUUGACGGGGGCUCGCACAAGCGGUGGAGCAUGUGGCUUAAUUCGAUGCAACGCGAAAAACCUUACCGGGGCUUGACAUGAUAGAAGUAGGAACCUGAAAGGGGGACGAACGGUAUCCAGUCCGUAGCUAUCACAGGUGUUGCAUGGCUGUCGUCAGCUCGUGUCGUGAGACGUUGGGUUAAGUCCCCUAACGAGCGAAACCCUUGUUUUUAGUUACCAGCGGGUUAUGCCGGGUACUCUAGAAAGACUGCCGUCGUCAAGACGGAGGAAGGUGGGGAUGACGUCAAGUCAUCAUGGCCCUUAUGCCCCGGGCUGCACACGUGCUACAAUGGUCGGUACAGACGGAAGCGAAGCCGAGAGGUGAAGCGAAUCCUAAAAAGCCGAUCUCAGUUCGGAUUGGAGGCUGAAAUUCGCCUCCAUGAAGUUGGAAUCGCUAGUAAUCGCGGAUCAGCAAUGUCGCGGUGAAUAUGUUCCCGAGCCUUGUACACACCGCCCGUCAAGCCACCCAAGCAGGAUGCACCCGAAAACAUUAUAUCUAACCAGGGCAACUUGGAGGAAAAUGUUGAAGGAGUGUUUUGUGAGGAGGACUAAGUCGUAACAAGGUAGUCGUAGGAGAACCUGCGGCUGGAUCACCUCCUUUCU